rnacentral:lncRNA from 1 species
UAUAUUUGAGGGUUUGUUUCAAUUGGGUCCUCCAAUUUUGAAAGUGAUCAAUUAGGUCCUUAAUUUUGUCAAUUUGAAUCAAUAAAAGUCUUUCCGUUAAAUGCAGUUAACGCCAUGAAAUUUUUGAACAUGUGCCUAGGUGGCACCAUUUCAAGUGCAUAGGUGGAUUAUAAAAGGGUGAAAUCCCUUUUAAUUUAGGGAUUUCACCUUCAAAUACACCCUUUUAAUU